AAGGUUUCCGUAGGUGAACCUGCGGAAGGAUCAUUAUUGAAUGAACUUGGUGUGGUUGUCGCUGGCCCUCUUGGGGGCAUGUGCACACCUACCAUUCUCAUCUCUCCACCUGUGCACCUCUUGUAGAUUUGGAAUUGAUUAUCCGAGGCAACUCGGUCGUGAGGACUGCUAGCACUUAGCCGGCUUUCUUUGCAAUUCCAGGUCUAUGUUUUUCAUAUACCCCAUUGUAUGUAACAGAAUGUAUCAUUGGGCCCUUGUGCCUAUAAACCUUAUACAACUUUCAGCAACGGAUCUCUUGGCUCUCGCAUCGAUGAAGAACGCAGCGAAAUGCGAUAAGUAAUGUGAAUUGCAGAAUUCAGUGAAUCAUCGAAUCUUUGAACGCACCUUGCGCUCCUUGGUAUUCCGAGGAGCAUGCCUGUUUGAGUGUCAUUAAAUUUCUCAACCAUUAUCAACUUUUGCUGAUAAUGGCUUGGAUGUGGGGGUCUAUUUUGCUGGCUUCUCAGAUAGUCAGCUCCCCUUAAAUGCAUUAGCCGGUGCCCCGCGUGGACUGUCUAUUGGUGUGAUAAUUAUCUACGCUAUAGACAUCCGCAAUCAUAUGGGUUUGCGCUGCUUCUAACAGUCUGUUGAUUCAGACAAUACAUGACAAUUUGACCUCAAAUCAGGUAGGACUACCCGCUGAACUUAA
rnacentral:rRNA from 1 species